UCUGGAUGGAUUCGAAUCUGAUGUCAGUGAGGAGGGUUAAGUCGUAACAAGGUAUCCGUAGGGGAACCUGCGGAUGGAUCACCUCCA
rnacentral:rRNA from 1 species